GUAAGUUUAAUUUAAAAUUAAAAUAAUAGAUUGUGAUUCUAUAAAUAGGAGUUAACCCUUCUAACUCACC
rnacentral:tRNA from 1 species